AACAUACUCCAUUCAUUCUAAAAUGUUGGUCUUAUAUUUGUCUAGAUACGGAAGUAUCUAAACAUGUUUUAGUGUUAGAUAUUUUUUUAUGUUGAUAAAUCUAAAACAAACAUUUUAGAACGGAGGUAAUAGUAA
rnacentral:pre_miRNA from 2 species